UACAGAGGGUGCGAGCGUUGUUCGGAAUUAUUGGGCGUAAAGGGCGCGUAGGCGGUGCGGUAAGUCACCUGUGAAAUCUCCUGGCUCAACUGGGAGCUUGCAGGCGAAACUGCCGUGCUGGAGUGUGGGAGAGGUGCGUGGAAUUCCCGGUGUAGCGGUGAAAUUCGUAGAUAUUCGGCGGAACACCAGUGGCGAAGGCAGCCCCCUGGGUCAAGACUGACGCUCAUGCACGAAAGCGUGGGGAGCAAACAGG
rnacentral:rRNA from 1 species